rfam:Dipodomys ordii contig_904, whole genome shotgun sequence.
GGGAAGGUGACUCAGUUGGUAGAGUGCUUGCCUCACAUGCAUGAGGCCCUGGGUUCAAUUUCUCAGCUCCACCU